AGCCCGUACAUCUAUAGGUUAACUAAUGAGGUAAAGGUAUGGCGGAAGUUUAUACAUGAGAGGGUUUGGUAGCCCGUACAUCUAUAGGUUAACUAAUGAGGUAAAGGUAUGGCGGAAGUUUAUACAUGAGAGGGUUUGGUAGACCGUACAUCUAUAGGUUAACUAAUGAGGUAAAGGUAUGGCGGAAGUUUAUACAUGAGAGGGUUUGGUAGCCCGUACAUCUAUAGGUUAACUAAUGAGGUAAAGGUAUGGCGGAAGUUUAUACAUGAGAGGGUUUGGUAGCCCGUACAUGAAGGCUUUUAUAGACAAAAAGGUUGAGGGGACUUCAAGGAAGGUCAGCCUACUUUCUGAUACAAAAUGCAAUAAUGUGUACUGAACCUAUCGCCCGUAAUAAAGCACAAUGCUCUGUGAUAAACUGUGUCCAGUACAGUGGCAGCUGCAUUCAUAUAGGCAUGUUCAGAAUUGUUUUCUGCUAUUUAACGAAAGAGAGGACCUGUUCCUAUAGAAUAAACCUAUUUUAAUUCUUAAUUUCUUAACUAGCCAGCUGUGGGGACAAUAGCUAACACCACAGUUUCAUCUGCAUACAGGUGAAAGUACAAUUUUUUUUUUUUUUUUUUUUUUUUUACAGAUAAACCAAUAUUGUUAAUGAAAAUAGUCAAAAGAACCGGACCAAGAAUCGAUCCCUGUGGGACACCCUUUGUUAUAUCCAGAUUUAACUCCAUCAGUUAAUACACACUGGGUUAUUUAAAUCAUUUUCAAACCAGCUACACACAGCCUGGUCCAGUCCAAUUUAUGAAAGCCUCUGAAUGAGUAAUAGGUAUGGACUUUAGACAGGUCAAUAAAAAGGGCUGAAACAAUGUUUCUUCUUAUCCAAACAAUCAAGACACAAUUGAAUACCAAAGAAGUAGCAGAGAUGGUACUAUAACCUGGUCUUAAAGCCUGACUGGUGUACAUUUAGAAUACAUUUUGUAGUUAACAAGUUGAGUAUUUACCAAGGAUUCUAGAAUUUUUGCAAAAGAGUUUGGAAAUGGGGCAACAAGGUCACCACCCUUGUGAAGGGGGAAUAUAUGGGCCGGCCGCCUUCCAGACCCUAGGGAUGGUAUCAUGUGUGAAAGAUUUUGCAAUCAGGAUCAGAUAUUUGCAGCAAGAAAGUAUAAAGCAAAUCAACCCCAGUGGAUUUUUGUUUUACAUACAUCUUGUGUUAAUACGUCUCAAGUAGAAAGUUGUUGAAAUGAAAACAAAGAUUCACUAAAAUAAUUUAUCCAUACCUUUUAAUUGCAAAACAAUCAGUGCCAUCUACAAAUAAAAUAAAAU
ensembl:lncRNA